rnacentral:rRNA from 1 species
UGGGUAACCUGCCUCAAAGAGGGGAAUAGCCUCUCGAAAGGGAGAUUAAUACCGCAUAAUAUGUUUUAGUCGCAUGACUUAAACAUCAAAGGAUUUUCUUUUAGAAAUUCCACUUUGAGAUGGACCCGCGGCGCAUUAGCUAGUUGGUGAGGUAACGGCUCACCAAGGCAACGAUGCGUAGCCGACCUGAGAGGGUGAUCGGCCACAUUGGAACUGAGACACGGCCCAGACCUNACGGGAG